CAGCAGCCGCGGGAAUACGGAGGGUGCAAGCGUUAAUCGGAAUUACUGGGCGUAAAGCGCACGCAGGCGGUCUGACAAGUCAGAUGUGAAAUCCCCGGGCUUAACCUGGGAACUGCAUUUGAAACUGGCAAGCUAGAGUCUCGUAGAGGGGGGUAGAAUUCCAGGUGUAGCGGUGAAAUGCGUAGAGAUCUGGAGGAAUACCGGUGGCGAAGGCGGCCCCCUGGACAAAGACUGACGCUCAGGUGCGAAAGCGUGGGGAGCAAACAGGAUUAGAUACCCGAGUAGUCCCUGUCUCUUAUAA
rnacentral:rRNA from 1 species